rnacentral:rRNA from 1 species
CAGUCGCCGCGGGAAUACGUAGGUGGCAAGCGUUGUCCGGAAUUAUUGGGCGUAAAGGGCUCGCAGGCGGUUUCUUAAGUCUGUUGUGAAAGCCCUGGGCUCAACCUGGGAAUUGCAGUGGAUACUGGAUCACUAGAGUGUGGUAGAGGAUAGUGGAAUUUCCGGUGUAGCAGUGAAAUGCGUAGAGAUCUGGAGGAAUACCGAUGGCGAAGGCAGCCAUCUGGCCUAAUACUGACGCUGAGGUACGAAAGCAUGGGGAGCAAACAGGAUUAGAUACCCCAGUAGUCCCUGUCUCUUAUAC